GAUGAACGCUGGCGGCGUGCCUAAUACAUGCAAGUCGAGCGAACGGACGAGAGGCUUGCUUCUCUGAUGUUAGCGGCGGACGGGUGAGUAACACGUGGAUAACCUACCUAUAAGACUGGGAUAACUUCGGGAAACCGGAGCUAAUACCGGAUAAUAUUUUGAACCGCAUGGUUCAAAAGUGAAAGACGGUCUUGCUGUCACUUAUAGAUGGAUCCGCGCCGCAUUAGCUAGUUGGUAAGGUAACGGCUUACCAAGGCAACGAUGCAUAGCCGACCUGAGAGGGUGAUCGGCCACACUGGAACUGAGGCACGGUCCAGACUCCUACGGGAGGCAGCAGUAGGGAAUCUUCCGCAAUGGGCGAAAGCCUGACGGAGCAACGCCGCGUGAGUGAUGAAGGUCUUCGGAUCGUAAAACUCUGUUAUUAGGGAAGAACAUAUGUGUAAGUAACUGUGCACAUCUUGACGGUACCUAAUCAGAAAGCCACGGCUAACUACGUG
rnacentral:rRNA from 1 species